rnacentral:misc_RNA from 1 species
UCAUAUACAAAAAGUCCAGCCAGGAGGAUCACACCAGUCUUAAAAGACCCAAGGGAAAGCAUUUCAAUUCCCUGAAUACAGAAAGCCAAGCCCAAAAUAUUGUUAGCCAGCCAAUGCUUCUGGGCAGCNAUACCAUGCACAAAAAAAGGUUCCAGGAAUUGCAGCAACAAUCUGAGAUCUUGUAAACUCGAUCUCCAAAGAGCGGAAAAAUGGAAAAUGCCAAGUAAUCAGAUCAUCAUUCCAAUGCUUUGGCAAAUAACGUUUAAUAGCUGGUAACAAUGUUGCCGAAAG